rnacentral:rRNA from 1 species
UGGGGAAUAUUGCGCAAUGGGCGAAAGCCUGACGCAGCGACGCCGCGUGAGGGAUGAAGGUUUUCGGAUCGUAAACCUCUGUCAGAAGGGAAGAAACCGCACUGUGCUAAUCAGCAGUGCCUUGACGGUACCUUCAAAGGAAGCACCGGCUAACUCCGUGCCAGCAGCCGCGGUAAUACGGAGGGUGCAAGCGUUAAUCGGAAUUACUGGGCGUAAAGCGCACGUAGGCUGCUUUGUAAGUCAGGGGUGAAAUCCCACGGCUCAACCGUGGAACUGCCUUUGAUACUGCUUAGCUUGAAUCCGGGAGAGGGGGGCGGAAUUCCAGGUGUAGGAGUGAAAUCCGUAGAUAUCUGGAGGAACAUCAGUGGCGAAGGCGGCCACCUGGACCGGUAUUGACGCUGAGGUGCGAAAGCGUGGGGAGCAAACAGG